CAAGUCGAACGCGAAAGCCCCGCAAGGGGUAAGUAGAGUGGCAAACGGGUGAGUAACACGUGGGUGACCUGCCUUCGAGUGGGGGAUAACGUCCCGAAAGGGACGCUAAUACCGCAUGACAUCCUGCGUUUGGAAACGCGGAGAUCAAAGCCGGGGAUCGCAAGACCUGGCGCUUGAAGAGGGGCCCGCGCCUGAUUAGCUAGUUGGUGGGGUAACGGCCUACCAAGGCGACGAUCAGUAUCCGGCCUGAGAGGGCGGACGGACACACUGGGACUGAGACACGGCCCAGACUCCUACGGGAGGCAGCAGUGGGGAAUUGUUCGCAAUGGGCGCAAGCCUGACGACGCAACGCCGCGUGGAGGACGAAGAUCUUCGGGUCGUAAACUCCUGUCGAGCGGGAAGAACGCUUCCCGGGUGAAUAAUCCGGGGAGGUGACGGUACCGCUAAAGGAAGCCCCGGCUAACUCCGUGCCAGCAGCCGCGGUAAUACGGGGGGGGCAAGCGUUGUUCGGAAUUACUGGGCGUAAAGGGCUCGUAGGCGGCCAACUAAGUCGGAUGUGAAAUCCCCAGGCUUAACCUGGGAACUGCAUCCGAUACUGGAUGGCUUGAAUCCGGGAGAGGGAUGCAGAAUUCCAGGUGUAGCGGUGAAAUGCGUAGAUAUCUGGAGGAAUACCGGUGGCGAAGGCGGCAUCCUGGACCGGCAUUGACGCUGAGUGAGCGAAAGCCAGGGGAGCAAACGGGAUUAGAUACCCCGGUAGUCCUGGCCCUAAACGAUGAAUGCUUGGUGUGGCGGGUAUCGAUCCCUGCCGUGCCGAAGCU
rnacentral:rRNA from 1 species